AACGAACGCUGGCGGCAGGCCUAACACAUGCAAGUCGAGCGAAGCCUUCGGGCUUAGCGGCGGACGGGUGAGUAACGCGUGGGAACGUGCCCUUUGCUACGGAAUAGCCCCGGGAAACUGGGAGUAAUACCGUAUGUGCCCUUCGGGGGAAAGAUUUAUCGGCAAAGGAUCGGCCCGCGUUGGAUUAGGUAGUUGGUGGGGUAAUGGCCUACCAAGCCGACGAUCCAUAGCUGGUUUGAGAGGAUGAUCAGCCACACUGGGACUGAGACACGGCCCAGACUCCUACGGGAGGCAGCAGUGGGGAAUCUUAGACAAUGGGGGAAACCCUGAUCUAGCCAUGCCGCGUGAGUGAUGAAGGCCCUAGGGUUGUAAAGCUCUUUCAGUGGGGAAGAUAAUGACGGUACCCACAGAAGAAGCCCCGGCUAACUUCGUGCCAGCCGCCGCGGUAAUAC
rnacentral:rRNA from 1 species